rnacentral:miRNA from 1 species
AGAUGAACUCGACUCGGCU